AGCAGCCGCGGUAAUUCCAGCUCCAAUAGCGUAUAUUAAAGUUGUUGCAGUUAAAAAGCUCGUAGUUGAAUUUCGGGAUUGACGUGAUGGUCGUGCCUUAAGGGGUAUGAACUGUUGCAGUCAAUUUCUCACCUUCUGGAGAAAUAUAAUGUCCUUAAUUGGGUGUUAUAUGGAACCAGAACUUUUUACCUUGAAAAAAUAGAGUGUUUAAAGCAGGCAUAUUGCUCGAAUACAUUAGCAUGGAAUAAUAAAAUAGGACGGCAUGGUUCUAUUUUGUUGGUUUCUAGGAUCACCGUAAUGAUUAAUAGGGAUAGUUGGG
rnacentral:rRNA from 1 species